rnacentral:rRNA from 1 species
CCUACGGGGGGCAGCAGUGAGGAAUAUUGGUCAAUGGCCGGAAGGCUGAACCAGCCAUGCCGCGUGAAGGUCAGUGCCCUACGGGCGUUAAACUUCUUUUGUGCGGGAGCAAUAAUGGUCACGUGUGGCCAGACGAGAGUAACGUACGAAUAAGCAUCGGCUAACACCGGGUCAGCAGCCGCGGUAAUACAGGGGAUGCAAGCGUUAUCCGGAUUUAUUGGGUUUAAAGGGUGCGUAGGGUGUGAGGUAAGUCAGCGUUGAAAUGCCCCGGCUCAACGGGGUGAAUUGCCAUUGAUACUGGCUAGCUAGAGUGCGGAUGCGGGGGGAGGAAUGUGUGGUGUAGCGGUGAAAUGCAUAGAUAU